rnacentral:lncRNA from 1 species
GUUGGAAUGGUUACUGUAGGCUGCUAACCAUAUGUGUGAGCAAAGUGCGUGACUUUUAUACAAUUAGAAUGAAUCAGAGGUAGCUCACUAUUUUUACUGCAGUGACAUUCCUAUUAAAUUAAUUUGCAAAAGCUGAGUGUUUGGAGUGCUUUAGAUGGUAUUAACCAUAGAUCUUUUAGAAUGAGGGUUGUUUCUGCUUACAGAACCUUGAUUUUUGUGUAGUGUGUGGUGUGUCCCUUCAGAUUCUUUGUGGUUUAUGUGUUUGAAAGAGGCCAUAAAAGAAAAAAAGACACAGACGCUUUUCAAGUGUAUGGAUAUCAAAUGGAGCUGAAGGCACUAAAGAUGGCAUGUCAUUGGAUGGAUACCACUGGCUUUCAACAUAAAAGUCUAAAUAUAGAAAGGAUUAAACAAUUGCUUAUAAUUUCACUGAAGUAAGUGCCAAGAUUCCUAUAAUUUCUAAUGGGGGCAGGAGCUGACCUUUGCUGUCCUCAGUUAAAUGAUACAGAAACAUAAUGUAGUUGGAAAAGUAUUCCAAUCACACCAGAGAAGAGGAGGCUUGGAGGAGACCUUAUUACUCUCUAUAACUGCCUGAAAGGAGUCUGUGGCAAGCAACAAGGAAGCAAUGCCAUUAAAUCGAAAAGCUGGAUGAGAGGAAAGUUCUGACAAGAGACAAUGAAGCUGAAGAUGGACAGAAUCCCCUGGGGACUCUAUAAAGCAGGAUACAUGUCUCAGAGUUCUCUUCAUCUGAGUGACUGGUCAAGAAGAAAUUCAUAUUCAAAGAGCCAUUGACCACCUCUGAUUAAC